rnacentral:rRNA from 1 species
GACGAACGCUGGCGGCGUGCUUAACACAUGCAAGUCGAGCGGAGCGGCGCACGGGUGAGUAACGCGUGAGUAACUGCCCCCCUCUCUGGGAUAACAGUUGGAAACGGCUGCUAAUACCGGAUAGUGGGGGAUGACUCGCGUCCUAUCAGUUUGUUGGUGGGGUGAGGGCCUACCAAGGGGGUGACGGGUAGCCGGCCUGAGGGGGUGACGUGCCACAUUUGGCGGAGAUACGGCUCAGACUCCUACGGGAGGGAGCAGUGGGCGAUAUUGCACAAUCGGCGAAAGCCUGAUGCAGCGACGCCGCGUGGGGGAUGAAGGGUUUCGGGUUGUAAACCUCUUGCGCGAUCGAAAGGGUAGGUGGAGAAGAAGCGCCGGCUAACUACGUGCCAGCAGCCGCGGUAAUAC